UGACGAUACAUGGCAACAUUUGGACCAACCAUUAAUCGGACGGUUCGACGUACCUAUUCCAAAUCAAGCCACAUCACCUUCAUCCGCAUGAACAGCUUCAACCCAAUAACAUUCAUACAUGUGGCAAAAAUCUAUUUGUUAGAAUCAAACUGCCCGAUGCCGGCUCGCCUUCCUGAAAUAACGUUUGACACUGACAACUGACACCAAAUCAUCCUGUUGAUGUGGUGGUUUAAAGAUGAUAAAACAGCUAAUCAUCCGUAUCUCGAAGAAGGUGGCUGCA
rnacentral:lncRNA from 1 species